UGAGUACGAGCUGCUACGGCAGCGAAGUGGGUGAUGUCAUGCUUCCAAGAAAAGCCCUAUACCCGUUAAGGCAUGAUGGCCUGUACCCGAAACCGACACAGGUGGGGUGGUAGAGAAUACCGAGGGGCGCGAGGUAACUCUCUCUAAGGAACUCGGCAAAAUGGCCCCGUAACUUCGGGAGAAGGGGUGCCACCGCAAGGUGGUCGCAGUGAAGAGGCCCAGGCGACUGUUUACCAAAAACACAGGUCUCCGCUAAGUCGCAAGACGAUGUAUGGGGGCUGACGCCUGCCCAGUGCCGGAAGGUUAAGGAAGCUGGUCAGCGUAAGCGAAGCUAGCGACUGAAGCCCCGGUGAACGGCGGCCGUAACAAUAACGGUCCUAAGGUAGCGAAAUUCCUUGUCGGGUAAGUUCCGACCCGCACGAAAGGCGUAACGAUCUGGGCGCUGUCUCGGAGAGAGGCUCGGCGAAAUAGAAUUGUCUGUGAAGAUGCGGACUACGUGCACCCGGACAGAAAGACCCUAUGAAGCUUUACUGUAGCUUGGUAUUGUGCUCGGGCUCGGAAUGCGCAGGAUAGGUGGGAGGCUAUGAACCAUUGCUUGUGGGUGAUGGUGAGCCACUGGUGAGAUACCACUCUUUCCGAGCUAGAGUUCUAACAGCCACCCGUUAUCCGGGGGCUGGACAGUAUCAGGUGGGCAGUUUGACUGGGGCGGUCGCCUCCUAAAAGGUAACGGAGGCGCGCAAAGGUUUGCUCAGGCUGGUUGGAAAUCAGCCGACGAGUGUAAAAGCAGAAGCAAGCUUGACUGUGAGACCUACAAGUCGAACAGGGAGGAAACUCGGCUUUAGUGAUCCGACGGUUCUGCGUGGAAGGGCCGUCGCUCAACGGAUAAAAGUUACUCUAGGAUAACAGGCUGAUCUCCCCCAAGAGUUCACAUCGACGGGGAGGUUUGGCACCUCGAUGUCGGCUCAUCGCAACCUGGGGCUGAAGUCGGUCCCAAGGGUUGGGCUGUUCGCCCAUUAAAGCGGUACGCGAGCUGGGUUCAGAACGUCGUGAGACAGUUCGGUCCAUAUCCGGUGCAUGCGCAGGAAUAUUGAGAGGAUUUCUCCCUAGUACGAGAGGACCGGGAGGAACGCACCUCUGGUGUACCAGUUAUCGUGCCAACGGUAAACGCUGGGUAGCCAUGUGCGGAGAGGAUAACCGCUGAAAGCAUCUAAGUGGGAAGCCCACCUCAAGAUGAGUAUUCCCAUGGGGUAACCCAGUAAGGUCACGGGAAGAACACCCGUUGAUAGGCUCUACGUGGAAGCGCAGUAAUGUGUGAAGCGGAGGAGUACUAAUAGACCGAGGGCUUGAC
rnacentral:rRNA from 1 species